rnacentral:rRNA from 1 species
UACGUAGGGUGCAAGCGUUAAUCGGAAUUACUGGGCGUAAAGCGUGCGCAGGCGGUGAUGUAAGACAGAUGUGAAAUCCCCGGGCUUAACCUGGGAAUGGCCAUGGAAACUGGCGAACUGGAGUGUGGCAGAGGGGGGUGGAAUUCCGCGUGUAGCAGUGAAAUGCGUAGAGAUGCGGAGGAACACCGAUGGCGAAGGCAGCCCCCCUGGGCUAGCACUGACGCUCAGGCACGAAAGCGUGGGGAGCAAACAGG